AAAACUCCCCCCAACGGAUCUCUUGGUUCUCGCUCCGAUGAAGAGCGCAGCGAAUCGCGAUAGCUAAUGUGAAUCGCAUCCGUGAAUCAUCGAGUUCUUGAACGCACAUUGCGCCCCUCGG
rnacentral:rRNA from 1 species